AGGUCUCAUUUGUAUCAGUCCACACACAUGCAAUGCAUUCAACCUGAAGUUGCUUUUAAAGCAAGUGUACAAAUACAAUAGUUUUUUUUUUUUUUUUUUUUUACUGUUACUUGAGUGCAUUCAUCAAAUCUGGAUUAGUUUAAAUGUGUCUUAAUUUUUCAUGGUUAUGCAUUUUAUCUAAAUGCUGGACUAAAAGCAGAUAAAUGUGUAAUGGAUUGAGGAGUUUUUGUCAUUACGUCUACAUUUAAUGGCAUGCCUGAGUCAAGCUAAAGCAUUGUGCCCAUUGAACAUGAUGGUUUAUGUAAAGGUUUUUCUUCUGUGCAUUGCAGAGUGACUUCACUUUUUUUUUUCUUUACAUGUAGUUGUAAGAAUCUUGCCUAACCAAAUUUAAGUGUAAAAUAGAUGUACAUGUAUCCUGAAAUUCCUGCUGUUGCUCGUUUUAACCAUUGGGGUCUUAAAAUCUAUAAGCUAAUCAACAGAAAGCUUAAUUCACCCGUGACUGAAUAUGCUUUAUGUGAUUCUAAACCUGUGUCCUUAAAACUUGCACGAUAUAUUCUUAUUUGAUAGUGUAAUUCACAAAAAAAUAUGUAUAGCAUGGAAUAUAGUGUGGUGACUGCAGUGGAGUUUAUCGGGUUGCUUCAGUAGAAUCUAUGACCGUGCUCUGAUUCUCGAGUUCACCUAAUGAUUGAAUUGAUCAGGAUAAAGCAGAGAGCAGCCCUCAGCCUCGCUGACUGUCAGAUGAGUGUGUCCUCAGCCUGCAGAAGCUCCACUGCGAGUGUUUUCAUGUGAAGAUGUCGUUCUGAUGUCAGCAGGUGUAUGUUCAGGAUGCGUCGCUCGCCGGCUCUGCGCUGUGUGUGUGUUUGUGUGCUGCUGAGUGUGUGCUGUCGAGCGUUUGAGCUGCAAGACACCAUCCACGCUCUGAUCGAGGAGAACAUCCACCUCCACGACCAGCUGGAGAACCUGACGAGAGCCCUGCGCGAGCUGCGACAGCUCCUGUUCCAGCACAGCGGCGAUCACACUCAUGAACACGAUGAGGAACUUCAGCAUCUCUGGGAGGAAUGGUCACAGCACAGCAUCACACCUGAGACUCACCUGCUGUUGGAACAUGCUCUCUGUGGACACGACCUACAUGGCUCCGCCCACUCCAGCUCAGGACACGUCCCCUUUGUAUUGAUCACUUUUAUAGUUCUUGUGCACAUUCUUUUAUGAAGUGCAUAUGCAGAACUACAGUGUGAGUGAGUCUAUUCAACUAUUUGACAUCAUUCAGAGCAGGUAGAUCUAAACCCAGUUCGAUCAACACUGACUGUCAGUCUUGGGGAAGGAUAAUACAGACUACAGAGUAGUUUAUCAGGUGAUAGAUUGAGGCCAGUGCAUGUGUUUUUUUCAACCGGGAACAUUAUACAUUCUUGCUAAAUAACAACAAACUUGAAAAUGUAAUGUGCUUAUAAACUUAUAUGUACGAGGUUUUUGUUUUGUUUUGUUUUGGUUUUUUGGCAUGUACUGUAUUUGUCAGCACUUCAUAAGUGCCAGUAAAGCAGGUAAAACGGUCUUCAGGUAAAAUACUAUUAAUCUUUGUAUAGAGAACGAGGUCAGAAGAGUUUUUUAAUGCAACUCAUUUUUAAUUUAAAUUGCUGCUGUUGCAACACAUUGGGUUGAAGAACUUGUUGAAGUGUUCAUUUGUAUUACACUCAACAAGCAAUCACUGUAAAUCAAGUCUAAAAUACAACAUAAAGGUUUUAAUUGAAAUAACCUGCUUGGUAAUGUUGCAUGUUUUUAAUAAAUGGACAAAUAAAUAGGCUACUUGUGGUAUG
ensembl:lncRNA